rnacentral:tRNA from 1 species
GGACCCGUAGCUUAAUUGGAUAGAGCAUCUGACUACGGAUCAGAAGGUUAGGGGUUCGACUCCCUUCGGGUCCA